CGCCGAGCUGCUUCCGGGGGCGCGGCGGGCUCGGCGGAAAUAAGGGCCCGCGGCCACGCUUCUUCCUUUUUCCUGCAGCUUGCUCCCCGGCUUCGUCUGCGUCCGAUGGCAUCCUCGUAUGCCCGCUCGUCCGAGAGUCUGGACAGUUCUCUCGUCCGUCUGCUUACCUUCUCCAGGAGGAACUGGGAACCAAACCUAAGACCUCCCACAUGAGGGACGAGUGCCCAACAGCCUGAGCCACAUCCGCUUCUUGAUUUGUUUAAAGCAAGCAGGCUAUGAUGUCUUUCCACCACGAUGCAUGGCACUUUGGAGUCUACCAUUCCCCUGGUAGUUGAGCAGCAAAAUUCCCAUAAUGCCAGAGCUGGAAGAUCCUUGAAAGGCUGUGCCUUGGGUAGUGAUCAGGCUGUUCCAUGGAAUCAGUGCAGUGAUGAGGAAGUAGAUGUGGCUCAAGGAGUUGGGUGCCUGCCAACCACAUAGGAGGUCCCAGAUUUGGUCCCGGUGCCUCAUAAAGAAGACAGCAAGCUGAUGCAGCAAGGAGACACAGUGAGAGGCACAACAAGCAGCAAGCACGGGUGGCUCAAGCAAUUGGGCACCUCCCUCCCACAUGGGAGGUCCCGGGUUUGGUUCCCAGUGCCUCCUUAAAAAAAAAAAGAGGAGCAGACACCGAGAGUGCAAACAAUGGGGGGGGGGAGCAUAAAUUACCCACAAAAAAGUCACUGGAAUUUCUGGUUCUUGGAAUAAUACUGGUGGGUAGAGGGUCUAGCUGAGGCUUAAGCCUGGGGUGGUGUGGGUUGUGGUUCAAUAAAGGUGGUUUUUAAAUCUGUGAUCCAGC
rnacentral:lncRNA from 1 species